rnacentral:rRNA from 1 species
GACGAACCGUACGAACGUUAUUCGGAAUCACUGGGCUUAAAGGGUGCGUAGGCGGCGCGACAAGUUGGGUGUGAAAUCCCUCGGCUCAAUCGAGGAACUGCGCCCAAAACUGUCGUGCUCGAGGGAGACAGAGGUGAGCGGAACUUAGGGUGGAGCGGUGAAAUGCGUUGAUAUCAGAAGGAACGCCGGUGGCGAAAGCGACGGACUGGAUAUCUUCUGACGCUGAGGCGCGAAAGCUAGGGGAGCAAACGGG